rnacentral:lncRNA from 1 species
AAAUUUGUAAAUUGAAAGUUAAAAAACAUAUAAGAGAGAAACAAAAAAGAAAAAAUUAAAAUUGAGAGAGAGCAUGGAAAAGGUUAAAGAAAUAAUUAAAAUUGAAAAGCCAUCUUCAAAAUUAAAAGAAAUAAAUAAAAAGAAAAAAUCAGUAAAAAUAGAAUAAUGGAAACACGGAGAGAGAAACGAAAAAUAAUAAAACAAAACGAGCACACGUUCUUAACCCAAAAAUUCAAAUCCAGAAUAUUUUCCCUUUUGCAAAAGAAACGUACAAUGUCAUGAAGAGUAAAAAACACAUAUGGGAAAGGAUAAGAGAUGGAAUACAAGACGGAACGUGAUCAGAGAUGGGUAAUCAUUUGUUU